AUUUAUAAGAGUUAUUCUUCUUAAUCAUUAUAAAUUGGUCUUAUAGUCAAUAAUGACAUCAAACUGCAAUUUUGAAGGAGUAAAAUUUUACUAAGGCU
rnacentral:tRNA from 1 species